rnacentral:rRNA from 1 species
GACGAGGAUAACCGUUGGAAACGGUUGCUAAGACUGGAUAGGAAAUAAAAAGGCAUCUUUUUAUUUUUAAAAGACCUUCUUCGGAGGGUAUGCUUAAAGAGGGGCUUGCGCCACAUUAGUUAGUUGGUGAGGUAAAGGCUCACCAAGAUUAUGAUGUGUAGCUGGACUGAGAGGUUGAACAGCCACAUUGGGACUGAGACACGGCCCAAACUCCUACGGGAGGCAGCAGUAGGGAAUUUUCGGCAAUGGAGGAAACUCUGACCGAGCGACGCCGCGUGAACGAUGAAGUAUUUCGGUAUGUAAAGUUCUUUUAUUGAAGAAGAAAAAAUAAUGGAAAAAUUAUCUUGACGUUAUUCAAUGAAUAAGCCCCGGCUAACUAUGUGCCAGCAGCCGCGGUAAGACAUAGGGGGCGAGCGUUAUCCGGAAUUAUUGGGCGUAAAGGGUGCGUAGGCGGUUAAAUAAGUCUAUAAUUUAAUUUCAGUGCUUAACGCUGUCUUGUUAUAGAAACUAUUUUGACUAGAGUGAGAUAGAGGCAAGCGGAAUUCCAUGUGUAGCGGUAAAAUGUGUAAAUAUAUGGAGGAACACCAGAAGCGUAGGCGGCUUGCUGGGUCUUUACUGACGCUGAGGCACGAAAGCGUGGGGAGCAAACAGGAUUAGAUACCCUGGUAGUCCACGCUGUAAACGAUGAGUACUAAGUGUCGGGGUAACUCGGUACUGAAGUUAACACAUUAAGUACUCCGCCUGAGUAGUACGUACGCAAGUAUGAAACUUAAAGGAAUUGACGGGACUCCGCACAAGCGGUGGAUCAUGUUGUUUAAUUCGAAGAUACACGAAAAACCUUACCAGGUCUUGACAUACUCUGCAAAACUAUAGAAAUAUAGUGGAGGUUAUCAGGGAUACAGGUGGUGCAUGGUUGUCGUCAGUUCGUGUCGUGAGAUGUUAGGUUAAGUCCUAAAACGAACGCAACCCCUUUCGUUAGUUGCCAGCACGUAAUGGUGGGGACUUUAGCGAUACUGCCAAUUAAAAGUUGGAGGAAGGUGGGGAUAACGUCAAAUCAUCAUGCCCCUUAUGAUCUGGGCUACAAACGUGAUACAAUGGCCGUUACAAAGAGUAGCUGAAACGCGAGUUCUUAGCCAAUCUCAAAAAGACGGUCUCAGUCCGGAUUGAAGUCUGCAACUCGACUUCAUGAAGCUGGAAUCGCUAGUAAUCGCGAAUCAGCAUGUCGCGGUGAAUACGUUCUCGGGGUUUGUACACACCGCCCGUCAAACCACGAAAGUUGGGCAAUAC